rnacentral:lncRNA from 1 species
GAACCUUCAGAACACAACAAAAACUCCAACAACAACAACAAUUUCAGUUUCCAACUCCACUACAACAAGGUUUAGGUAACAACAACAUCCAACUCGGCCACACCUUGUUCACAUCUACAACUUCGAUAAGUUCAAGUUCAAUCUUAGAUUUGGACACUUUUUAGUGUUGAUGAGAAAGAAACCAACACUAGAAACACUCUAAACAAACAAAAGACUACAAGUUCUAGACACA